rnacentral:piRNA from 1 species
UCAGAUGUAACACUUAAGCUAUCCUCAA